rnacentral:misc_RNA from 1 species
GUAGGUGAACCUGCGGAAGGAUCAUUACCAAUCCAAAACUUACAACCCCUGUGAACUUGUAUAAUGUCCUUGGGUGGAUGCUAAAAGGUCUCCAAGGAGACUUGGAAUUUCAUUCCAAGUCCCCUUUCAGUCUCUCGAAGCCCACCCAAUUUUUUUACAAACCACUUAAAUACUUUGUUGAAAUAACUAUCUUCUACGCUUCACAGCUUGAAGGUUUUUACAUUAAACAAAAUACAACUUUUAACGGUGG